UCCAACACAGUUGUGCUUAGCGGUCUGAUUAGCUGUCCGACAGUGUUUUGCGAUGGCUAGAAGGCAUCCGUGUGCGGUGCUCGGCUGCAAGAGUGCCGACUGGAAAAACAGAAUGAUGCAGCACCGGCUGCUUCAUGAUGACACCCUGCGCAAUGCCUGGACUGAGCGCAUUGGGGCUGUUUCAAUGAGUUAAUCUAGUAACGUUGCAAUGAAUGCAUAUUUUGCUCACUUGUGUAGCUCGCCUUCUAUUUGCAUGCUGAGCUCCCGGAAAGCGAAGUACGCCGCCUCGAGGACUCCAGGAUUUGGACAUGGUGGGGAAAUGUAGGUUGCGUGUAAUGCAGUCAUUGUUUGCUUUACGACUUCUGUCACCUCCCUGCUGAAUGCUCCCUCCCUGAAUGGACUAACAACCAGUGGGCUUUGAAAACAGCAGAACAUACCAACCAAUAUUGUCACCACGAUCUGGGGUAGGCGGCAAUGGUGGCAGUUAACCUCUAGCGGAGGUGCUUCGCCACAGCGGUUUACCGUACGGAUCCAUUAUAUAUUGGUGAGCCUUUCUAGACGCGCACACAACACAGGGUCCACAGCGGCAGGCUUCAAAGGAGCAUGGGCCGGCCCGGCAGCAACAGCGGGCAGCCGAGAUGCACAGAGUCGCGUUAACUGGAAGCUGACAUGUGUUUUGAAAAGCGCGUUGACGAUGACAUAUGUCACAUGACAGCUGGAGGAGCCCUCGGUGAGGAGAAGACCAGCUGACGAAGGGAGAGUAGUGAAGGAAAGAGCAAAAUGAGCGAGAGCCGCGUUUCGACCAUCAAACGCGUGUAACUCCGCUAUUACUGCACCAUUUCGAAAAAUUCUCGCUGCUACAUGUUUUUUCAAGACUUGUGGACAGCUGCAACACCACACCUAAAUUUUGACCUCUGGGUGGUUCAGGGGCCCUUUAAGCCGCAUGCCCUUUAUGUACAUGAGCCUCAACAAUUUUGUUCAUUUUUUACAGGAAUCUAAAUAAUUUCAGAGGAACCUACAACGUAUAGUAGGACCCGUCUAAUAAGUUUUCCAUGGGACCGCUACAAAAAAACGCAAUACCCGGGAAACGUAUUAUGUGAACAUGAGCUUAUACAUGAUGCAACCGUGCUGUUAAAUAUUAAAACAAAGGCACUACCCAUUGCUCAGCUGCUGACAGCUAAUGAGGACUCGACGGGGAUUGCCUAAAGUCUGAAUAACUGGGAGUCCAAUGUAUCGAAUUUGGGAGAGAAUGAGUAACUAACGUAAAAUGAGUAACUAUUAUUUUUAAAUGUGAGCAGCAUUAUGGGCUCCGUGUCGCAGAAAAUCCGCUGUCGGAGUCAAUUCAUUCGUGAGCGAAAGUUUCCAUGUCUAUACUAUAUAGUAUACAUAUAUGUAUAUAACAGUGCAGCUUAUCCACGCUGAACGGUAUGGCCUUCGACACAGCACAAGAUGGAAGUACUCCGUGUCUUGUCGCCUUUCGGCAUGAUGGGAGCUACACAGCAAAGAAGGCAAGAGAGCAAAGCCCUGGCCAAAGGGACUCAUCACGGCACCCAGCGGCGGCCACGGCAGACUAUGCUACGCAGCACACAGCUGCCAUUUGGAGGCCAUGUGCAGCUCAUGCAAAUACACACAGUGGAAAGAUGAAAUGAUUCUGUUUUUCUGAGAACGCAGACAUAUAUACUUUUCAUUUAUUUAACUCAGAAUUAGCAAUCAUGCAUUACUGAGAAUGCUCUUGCGAUCACAAAACGAGGCAAUAGCAUUGGUGGGCCGGCAGCUUUCGAUGACGCUGCACGAUGGCAUUGUGGAAGUGCGAGCAAGAAAUUUUUUGCCGGUUUUGACGCGUGAUUGUAAAUUCCCUGCUGCAUGCAGUGCAGUAAUAUUUGGCUCACAUGCUCACACCAGCCUCCACCACAGAUAGGCAACAUUUUCUUAGUAUUUUCAAAGAGUGUUUCAAGGCCCCUUCAAAUUUCAGCAUGGCAUUAAGCAACUGUUUGAAAUGCAGAUUAUUACAACUCAUUUUAUUUUUGACUAACUGCUAUGUAAUAAAUAUUAAGGGCACUACUUGAGCUACAUAACCAUAACAAGCCAACAGACCCAGGAUCUGAAGUUAGCCCACAAUGUCGGGUCUAAGAAAUCCCACUCUUAAUGUGAAACAUUUUACAGGAGGGGUAGCAGAUGUUUGUGGAGCGGUUGUGCAGCAGGAAGCCCAGGCAGAGUGUAGAAGGAUGCUACCAGGUGAGCUACAGAGGGGGAGGGAACUCCAUGGAGACUGUGAAGUGUAGGUGCACGCUGGGAGUGGUUCUGUGCGAGCAGUGACAUCAUGCCAUGUGAACCCCUCAAUGCUUGCCCAAAUGUUGAUAGCACACGAUCAGCUCUAUUUGCACAGUCAUACUGCCCUUGGACCGCACAUGGCUACCUGCUCUGCAUUGCUCGCUUCCUCUUUAUAUGCACGUGGCAUGAUUUGCUAGUGUGUGAAGUGAGCGUGAUGUCACUAGAGUGUUUUAGUUGAGCGUGUUUACGCUCCACUAAGCAGCUAAGCGGAGCGGAAGUGCGAAUGCGCAUGCGCCAUCCGCUUAGCCGUAAGCGGGCUAGCGGAGCGAGGAACACGGUCCGCUGAGAAGCUGCCUGAGCGGAGCGCUUUGGCUAGCGUUGGCGUCAGGAAGGAUUGGAUUGGAUGCAGAAAGCAAGCGCACUGGCUAUCACGUGGCGUUCCCCAAGACGGCACUUUAUAUUCCAUUAGGUAAAAUGGACCGGUAACGCAUUACAAGUGCACUUCUAGAUACUUCAUUUAGAAAUAAGUUAUAUAUACACAUAUGUGUUUUACUGUAUAAAACUGAUCAAUAGGUGUUUUUAUUUUCUUUCAUUACCCUGAAUUUGGCCAGAGGACGCUGCAAGUAUGAAAGGUCCGCUCCGCUAUGCUUAACGUAUAACUAAAACGUGAAAAUCGCCCGCCGCUCCGCUUUGGCUUAGCGGAGCCACUCGGAGCGGAGCGUACCGUAAAGACACUCAACUAAAACACUCUACUGAUUUAGCCAGUUGCCAAGAAAAAAUGCUCACUGUGCUGCUGAGAUGCCCGAGAAAAACAUACCAAUGCUUUUCAACCAACUAGCCCAACUAUCUGCUCUCCUGAGGCCUGUGCAUUUAGAAGCUGCGUGGAUGUAUAAGCGAUGGUGAGGAUGGGUAAUAAAAGAUUGCCCAAUAGCUUAACACAGAUAACGGGCGAGAAAAGAGCGGCGGAAAUAAAUGGACUGGUAUAAAAUACGUAGGGUUAAGGAUUUGUACACCACAUAAUGGUCUCAAAUAAACCUCACUCAAGAGUAAUGUGCGAGGUUUUGCAGGUGUUAUUACGUUUAUAUUUAAUUAGCCAAACCUGACAGGCAAUUCCGUCAAAACUUUUGCCUUUCAAGGUUGGAUAUAAAUUAUUUUUCUUAAACAUACAGUAAGAGAUCACCAGAGUACAUGCAGUUUUGGAUGUAGGUGACCCCAUGACCAAAAAGUGCAACUGUGUCACAGAGUGUAUGCCCGCGUCCCUCUCGGGAUGGCCGCCAGUGCCGCCCCAGCUACAGCGCCGCUUGCACGGCGAUGGGAAGACAGCGGUCCCCAUUGUUCCAGUCUUGCCCGACCGUUUGGUCACGUGGGUCGCCUGAGCGCGACGGAGGGACGAGGCAGCUCGGGGAGCGGCAGAGUGGCUUGGAAGACGGAGGAGGGUGGUCGUGCACCGGGAGACAGCUGAAGAUGUGGUCGGCAGGCUAAAACCUCCUGGCCGAAGUCUUCGCCGUUCGACCUACAGACGGUGCAAGUCCGUCAGGAUCUUCGGCAGCGAGGUACCAGCAGCCCGACGCUCUUCAGACCGGGAUCUCGGCAAGCACGCCACAGUUAAGCCUCGUGUUCCAGCCCGCUCUCAGAGCUUUCCGCCAGACUGUAUUUUUUUAAUCGCGUUUAAUCUUUCAUUUAUUUAUCCAUCGCGUGUUUAUUUUUGUAUGUUCUGUUAGUGUAGUGUUGGCCCUAUUUAUUGUCGCGUGUAUUUUUCAUUUUUGUCGCGUAUUUUGUUUGUUAUUUCGCGAGUGUUAAUAGCUCCCACGUGGUGGGCUGAGUGUCGUGCGAGUGGCGUCAGGGCGUGCGUUGUGUGACCCGCACGCCUUCCGCGAACUAGGCCCCCCUGCUGGUAAUUUGUAUGUUCUUUUUUCGAGCAUGUCUCGCGCAUGAUUUUAUUGUAUUAAAUUGAGUGUGUGUGUUGUA